rnacentral:rRNA from 1 species
UACGAAGGGGGCUAGCGUUGCUCGGAAUCACUGGGCGUAAAGGGUGCGUAGGCGGGUCUUUAAGUCAGACGUGAAAUCCCUCAGCUUAACUGGGGAACUGCGUCUGAUACUGGAUGGCUUGGAUUUGGGAGAGGGAUGCGGAAUUCCAGGUGUAGCGGUGAAAUGCGUAGAUAUCUGGAGGAACACCGGUGGCGAAGGCGGCAUCCUGGACCAAUAUUGACGCUGAGGAGCGAAAGCCAGGGGAGCAAACGGG